AUAUAUUCUUAUGUGGGAUUGAAUACGGUUGAUUUGCUUAUUUUGAAGAAAAUAUUGGGAUGCGUAAAGUGUCCCUUUCCCUUUUCUACUUAAUUCGCUUAUCAUACUGUUUCUUUUUCGCGUAAGAAUGUAUUUGCUUGAUUGUAAAGCUUCUUAGAGGAACGAUGUGUGUCUAACACAA
rnacentral:rRNA from 1 species